GACGAACGCUGGCGGCGUGCUUAACACAUGCAAGUCGAACGAGCGGAGGACGGGUGUGUAAUGUAUGGGGACUGCCCCAUAGAGGGGGUUAACUACUGGAAACGGUGCCUAAUCCCGCAUACUAUCGGAUAACCCAUCUGGGAUUAGCUAGUAGGUGGGGUAAAGGCUCACCUAGGCGACGAUCUCUAGCUGGUCUGAGAGGAUGAUCGGCUACACUGGGACGGAGACACGGCCCAGAGGCCGACGGAGGCAGCAGUGGGGAAGAGGGCGCAAUGGGAGAAAGCGUGAAGGAGCCAUGCCGCGUGUAUGAAGAAGGGCUGAGGGUUGUAAAGUUGUUUCAGCGGGGAGGCGUUACCGGCAGAAAAAGCACCGGCUAACUCCGUGCCAGCAGCCGCGGUAAUAC
rnacentral:rRNA from 1 species